rnacentral:rRNA from 1 species
GUGGGUAACCUGCCUGUAAGACUGGGAUAACUCCGGGAAACCGGAGCUAAUACCGGAUAGUUCCUUGAACCGCAUGGUUCAAGGAUGAAAGACGGUUUCGGCUGUCACUUACAGAUGGACCCGCGGCGCAUUAGCUAGUUGGUGGGGUAAUGGCUCACCAAGGCGACGAUGCGUAGCCGACCUGAGAGGGUGAUCGGCCACACUGGGACUGAGACACGGCCCAGACUCCUACGGGAGGCAGCAGUAGGGAAUCUUCCGCAAUGGACGAAAGUCUGACGGAGCAACGCCGCGUGAGUGAUGAAGGUUUUCGGAUCGUAAAGCUCUGUUGUUAGGGAAGAACAAGUGCGAGAGUAACUGCUCGCACCUUGACGGUACCUAACCAGAAAGCCACGGCUAACUACGUGCCAGCAGCCGCGGUAAUACGUAGGUGGCAAGCGUUGUCCGGAAUUAUUGGGCGUAAAGGGCUCGCAGGCGGUUUCUUAAGUCUGAUGUGAAAGCCCCCGGCUCAACCGGGGAGGGUCAUUGGAAACUGGGAAACUUGAGUGCAGAAGAGGAGAGUGGAAUUCCACGUGUAGCGGUGAAAUGCGUAGAGAUGUGGAGGAACACCAGUGGCGAAGGCGACUCUCUGGUCUGUAACUGACGCUGAGGAGCGAAAGCGUGGGGAGCGAACAGGAUUAGAUACCCUGGUAGUCCACGCCGUAAACGAUGAGUGCUAAGUGUUAGGGGGUUUCCGCCCCUUAGUGCUGCAGCUAACGCAUUAAGCACUCCGCCUGGGGAGUACGGUCGCAAGACUGAAACUCAAAGGAAUUGACGGGGGCCCGCACAAGCGGUGGAGCAUGUGGUUUAAUUCGAAGCAACGCGAAGAACCUUACCAGGUCUUGACAUCCUCUGACAACCCUAGAGAUAGGGCUUUCCCUUCGGGGACAGAGUGACAGGUGGUGCAUGGUUGUCGUCAGCUCGUGUCGUGAGAUGUUGGGUUAAGUCCCGCAACGAGCGCAACCCUUGAUCUUAGUUGCCAGCAUUUAGUUGGGCACUCUAAGGUGACUGCCGGUGACAAACCGGAGGAAGGUGGGGAUGACGUCAAAUCAUCAUGCCCCUUAUGACCUGGGCUACACACGUGCUACAAUGGACAGAACAAAGGGCUGCGAGACCGCAAGGUUUAGCCAAUCCCAUAAAUCUGUUCUCAGUUCGGAUCGCAGUCUGCAACUCGACUGC